ACUUCAGAUGCAGAUUGUUAGGGUUAUUUCACCACCCGAGAAGACUACCAGCAGAUCUCACUGCCUUCCCCACACCUCACGCCUCACACCCGCAGAUCGGCAUUAACAAUCUUCGCCUCACGCUGUCGCCACUCCUCGCCACAGAUCGAGAAGACUACCCGUCGCCACUCACUGCGUCCAGCCAACGCCGCCGCCGUCUACACCCCCUCGCCUCACGCCCCGUCGCCGCUGCCGCCGGUCUCCACUCGCCUCACGUCGCUGUCAGCGAACUCGCCGCUUCAUAGAUGAGCUUAAAGCCGUAUAGCCAAUUCGGUUGGUAGGCUUCUCCUUAGCUUUCGAGGUUUAUGAUUUGGUACGCCAUCUCCGACUCUCCUCUCUUGAUGACGAACAACCUCACAACUUUCUCUGCGCUUUUGCUAUGCUUCAGUUGAAAUCUGAAGACUGUAGCCACCAGGCUGUUGACAGUGAAACAGGGCCAUGGUUUCUGCUUCUUUAGUGCCCUCUUUUUAUGCUGGGGGCUGAUAAGCUCAUAAAUCUGAUUUCCGUUCAAAUAAAAUUCAAUUAAAACAGGGCCAUCUGUAAUGAAAGCAGCAGAUCAAUCAAGAAAAUGACUACUGAGGGGCUAUUAUGCUGGUCAUUUGUCCCACCAGCAAUUUGUACAGCAUUAUGUGGAAAACGGAUUAUUGUAUUAAGUGAUACGUUUUCUGACGUUGGCAUUAGUAUUCGCACUUGGAUGUCUUGAAAGUAUGUGUGGAUGGGAAAUUUUUGUGAAUGCACUGAAAAAGACCUUAUUAAGGUAUGAUACAGAAUGAAAUUAAGAAAGAUAUGACCAUUGCCUGAUGUACAUGACUUAUUUCCCCAAUACAGAGCCAUGCUAUGAAGAUAUCAUUGUGCUCCUUCCAGGAGGGUACCUUUCUGGCUAAUAUUAUUGAUUCUAUUCUUCUCCUCUGACCAGUUGAGCUGCCCAUGCGGGCAUUAUUGAUUCUAUUCUACAUUGCAGGGAUUCUGCUGUUGUCGGGAAGGGAAGGGAAGGACCACAUUUAUUGCAAGUAUCAGGUAGGUUUUACUCCUCAUUUGAGAGAAUAUCUUUACAGUUUGUUGAAAGGGGUUUAUUUGAAUUGUAUUUAUCAUGGUGCCCUAUUGAAAGUGAAACAGGGAAGCUUUAUGUAGGGUAUUUGAUUGUGGUGAAGUGGUUCUUUUCCUUAUUAAUUGGAAUUGGUGAGUUUCUAUCUAUGAUUUUAAAUUCUUUCCCUGGCCCUGAUAUUACUUCUGCUGUUUGUCAGUGUGGUUGCCCAACCUUUAGAAUGGUUACUUCACUUACUUGUAACUCCUUUAGCCUUAAGCUCUGGAAAUGUAACACUUAAGCAUGUUAUUAACAUCUAAAUAUGAUACUAUUUAAACUAUCUAGGGACAGAAUAGAACUUAAAAAUCAAGCUUUAAUGUGUUCCAUCAGGUAUCUGAAUCUGAUGAGCUUAAUGUGGUAAGAUGAGUUGUUUUUUGUGAUUACUAGUACAGUGUACUAAAAAUGUGUUUUUCUCUAUGGUCCUAGUACUCUGUUAAUGGUUUGCCUAGCUCUAUGGACGUGUGGCUUGCUUAUGCACCUGUAUAAAGAAACUAUGCCAUUUGAAGGUUUGUGAAAUUCAUUUUCAACCCUUUGGGAUAUAUUAAAUAGAUUUCCACAUGAUUUUAUCAGUUGUGUUAAUCUAUUUUACUUGGGAACCCAUACCAUAGUGCUACUUCUCGAGAAAUGGCCAUAUAUAAAGCACAUAGCCUCGUUCUGAGAAAGUUCAUUUUUCUCUCAAGCCAGAUAUAUUUGUGGAUUUGAUGUUAUUUCUAAAACUGAAUUUUCCUAAAAAUUAGUUGCAGUUGAUUGUUGUUGGUGUAUAAGAAGGUUUAUUGAUUGAAUUUAUUAGUACAUUUAAAAUUAAAGCUCGUAAUAACAUUAUUGCACUCAUAGUUUAAUUAUUAAAAAAAAAGUUGAAGUUCAAAAGCAAAUAUAUAUGGAAUUCAAAUAAAGAUCCAAUAUAAUUAUUACUUUACAUUUAUGCAGAAGUAUAUAUUUUACUUCCUAAUAUUAAUGAUAACAUUUUCAGAAUGCACCAAAAGAUGUCAUCAAAGCUAUUUAUGACAUUUCAUUUGAUCCUGUUAUUAGGAUAAUCCGCCAAAGUGAUGAUCAUAGUGAAAUGCAGGUUCCUCUUUCUCUAUUCGUUAAAUGUUCAUAUGUUUUGUGUGACUUAAGAUUAAAAAUAACCUGUUGAUGUUGCUUUUGUAAAUUAGAAUGCAAUCCACUAGAUCAUAGUACAUGUCUUACUCUUAUAUUUUGAGGUCACAACUGAUCAAAUGUGUGGUCAACAUUGUAAGACACUAAGAGAUCAUCAUUACAUGACCAGAGAUAGCAAUAUCAAAUGCAGGCAGACCACUAGAUCAAAUAGGGAAGGUUCCUUUUAACAUAUUCUACUAAUUGGUCUCAAGGAUCUUUUUUUAAAAAUGUUUCUGGGCUCUUUUAGUUGCUUUAAUUUUCGUAUGGUGGUUUGCGGUUAUCUUGCCAAAAAAUUGUACUAUGAUUAAUGCAUCUAAUCUGCACAAUGAUAUAACAUAAUAGGUGUUGAAGCUCGAGUAUUCUGGGCGUGAUCUAAUCUGCACAAUGACCCUGUCUGCAGCUAUAAGGCUUUUGGGUGUGAUCCAAUCCUCAUAUUUACAUUCUGCUCCCUCAGCUCUUCUUUUUAAAUUAUUGGCUAUUAGUUUCCAUUGAUGCAUACCUUACUAAUUAAACAUGCAUUGCUUGCUGUUCUUGUUGAAUAUUGAUUAAGUGGCUAGUUAUGUGGAAAUAUAUUGUUAUGUAGGAGUAUGAUUUUAGUAUUAAAUGCUACGGAGUAUUUUUCUGCAGGCUUCAAAAAAAAAAGGGGAGAAAUUGGCAUUUUACUCUAUGCCUGAGUAUGAAGCAUGGAAGGAGAGUUUAGGGGAUAAUGCACGCUGUUGGUCUAUAAAGUACUACAAGGUCUGUGUACCAAAAAUAUUCAUGAACUUAUUGCAAGCUGUUUCUGCAGGCUUCAAGAACAGGAAGAAUUUUUUUCUGGGCAGAUGACCGAGAUGGGGAGGCAAUAGAACUUGCUUUUAAUAAGAUGAUUGAAGCGAGGAAGAAUUGGCUGAGAUAAUUUGAGGUUUUUGAAUUUUUAGAUUGUUCGUAAUUUUGUUAUUGCAAUGAACUAAAAUUUCAGUGUUCAUUCUACAAUUUCUACAUAGAUUAUCAGACGGGGUUGUUUUAGUAUCUAUUUAGUAUUUCAAUGUCUCUUAUGUUUUUGGAUCUGUGAUGUUAUAGGUUGUUGCAGUUUUGUUAUUAUUCAUUAAUGUGUUUUCCUUUAAUUGGCUUACAUGGAAACACUGCUUUUCUGUUGUAAUUCAUCUUGGAAUUAAUGUAUAAUGACAUCCAGGGGUGACUUUGACUUAAUUUUGGAUGGAAUCCAUGAGUAUUUGUGGAAA